CUCCAUUCCUUCUUUAAAACAUGCAUCACCUAUCCCGUUUCUCACCUCUCAUACUCAAUUCCUGCAGUCAAGUUUCACGAGAGCAACAACAUACACCACCAAUUCGAGAAAAAUGAAAUUGGAGCAUUGAGGCGGUUAGGUCGGCCCAUUUGACAGCUGAAGUUAGAGAAAAACGGUGUACCAUUAUCCACAUAUAUUGAGGGAUGAAGUGCCUCAACCAUUACCAUCCAUCUCCACCAUUAUCAUCAGUUAGAAACAAACACACAAUGUGGCCUCGUAGAUUAGAACUCAACGGUAACAGCUUCUCCUUAAGCAGCAGGGCGCUACCUUGUACUUUUCUUGCAGCUACUGCUCCCCCCGCUGCCAAGUUGUCGGUUCUUCUUCAGACAGGUGGUGUAUGCCUUGUUGCCUAUUGGGUUGCAAAUUUCGUGGUACCGGGAUUCAUUCUUAAGGACCUCCAAUCCAAAGACAAAGCCGACGAGAAUCCAAGCGAAGAUCAAGGCUGAACCAUACCAAUUCAUCAACUAUUGGAGUCAAGAGGGUUUUUUAGGACACUAACUUAGGUUGAUUUGGAAAUUAUGACAAUAACUUUCGGAUUUAUAAAAAUAGAACACUAAUUAAUAAGUGUUGCACCCGUAGCACAUUUCUCGGCCAAUUAUCGAAUUUUCGGACUUUC